rnacentral:lncRNA from 1 species
GCUGUUAUUAUUGUUCUCCAUAAAGGACUUUGUGAAAAGCAUCUCUCAUCCUAGUGAUGAAGAUUUAUAGAGAUAGAUCUAAAAGACUGCUUGGAUUUUUUCAGUCCAACGUACAUAAAGUAUUUAUGAGUAGAAUUUGUUCUAUCAUGUACACCAUGUAUGAGAUCGGAUAUGGUAUACUCAUUAGAGUAGUGAGUGGAUACUUGCA